CUUACUUUAGUUUAAUUAAGAAUGGAAGCUUUGGGGGUUUUUGGUUCUCUAUUAGA
rnacentral:tRNA from 1 species